rfam:Methylobrevis pamukkalensis strain PK2 A6302_contig000099, whole genome shotgun sequence.
GCCAAGGGGCAGAUCGCGAUCACCCCGUGAGGCGUCAGCCGAACGAUCGCGUCCACGAACCUCGCACAGGGGGAACGGGCGCGCAUG